CCGCCCGCGGCUUGAUCCUCUCUCCCUUGCUUGCUCCAGAGGCGCCCCGCCCCGCUUGGCUUCCCGGCUCUCGGCGUCCUCCCACCCGGAUCCAUUGCACGCUGUGGCCAGGCGGCGAUGGAGCCCCGUGGCUCCUGCCCAGCCAACCUGCUCUUCUCUUUCAGGCCCUGGUUGAGGGUAAAGAAUGGAAUCGGCUGUUUUGUGUAUUUGCCUCUGUGCUUGGAACUGGCAUAUAGAAGCUCCAUCUUCUCCAGUCACUGUCAGAAUCUGCCAUGAUUGUUGAUGGAGAGAGAGAGAGAUCUGGCCCAUGGCAGAAGAAAAUGAGAUGAAUAGUAAGAAGAAUCAGAUCCAAGAAGAGCCAUCCAAAAGAGGAAGAGACACCUGGUCCUGCAGACUUUACCUCUAAAUUAGCUCUAUUUUGGUUCCAUGUGCCCAUACUUCUCCCUUACCCACUGCUGGCUAAGUGAGGUUUUUGUUCAGUAUGAUUCAGUUCUGGUACCUUGAUAUAACUUGUUCUCUUCACACUGUUCACAGUUAUUAAGAAAACUUUACUUGGCAUUUGCUUGGUACUCACCAUGUGCCAGGCUGUUUAGUACACGCUUUCCCAUGUGAUCUCUUUCUAUAUGUGGUGACCAUCUCAAGUUGGCAUUGUGACCAUAAUUUGACCAAGAACACAGACAUAUUUGUUGCCAGUCCAUUUAUCCUUUUAAGGAUGUAGAUGGACAUUUCAGGUCCCUUUUCAUGUCCACCUCAGUCUCCAAGGAAGAGAACUGGAUGGGAAACUUUGUCAAGGCACACUUAAUCCCUCUUCUGGGAAAAAGGGCCAUGUCCUGACCAGGAAUCCUCAGUGCUCCCUUUGGCCCUUUUAGGCAGUGGGGAGUGGCAGUCCUGGAGUUUUUGCCCAGCUGCCUGGAAGAGAGUGGAUGAGCAGCUGAGGCUGAUAAACAGCCUGGGUUAAUCCAGGUUGCAGCUUGUAGUUCUCUUGCAAGAUCCAUCAAGGAUUUCCCUUCAGCAGUAUCGCUUCACAGCAGUUGGCUGACUUGUGGGUCCCGACAGCCUGACUCCUGGCUGUGCGUGCGGGCAACUUCAGCAGGUAGAAUGUGGCUAACCUGAGUAGACACAUGUAGAGCUCUGCGGAGAGAACAGGAAAGCUUGCAUACACAGGGCUUUUGUGACAGAAGCUGAGAAGGAAGUCAGGGGAAAUAAUUAAUCCCCAUAUCCAUUUAACAGUCCUCCUCUGGAACAUCAGCUCUUUGAGUUUUGGAUCGGAGUCAAA
rnacentral:lncRNA from 1 species